GAUAAACGCUGGCGGCGUGCCUAAUACAUGCAAGUCGAGCGAACGGACGAGAAGCUUGCUUCUCUGAUGUUAGCGGCGGACGGGUGAGUAACACGUGGAUAACCUACCUAUAAGACUGGGAUAACUUCGGGAAACCGGAGCUAAUACCGGAUAAUAUUUUGAACCGCAUGGUUCAAAAGUGAAAGACGGUCUUGCUGUCACUUAUAGAUGGAUCCGCGCUGCAUUAGCUAGUUGGUAAGGUAACGGCUUACCAAGGCAACGAUGCAUAGCCGACCUGAGAGGGUGAUCGGCCACACUGGAACUGAGACACGGUCCAGACUCCUACGGGAGGCAGCAGUAGGGAAUCUUCCGCAAUGGGCGAAAGCCUGACGGAGCAACGCCGCGUGAGUGAUGAAGGUCUUCGGAUCGUAAAACUCUGUUAUUAGGGAAGAAUAUAUGUGUAAGUAACUGUGCACAUCUUGACGGUACCUAAUCAGAAAGCCACGGCUAACUACGUGCCAGCAGCCGCGGUAAUACGUAGGUGGCAAGCGUUAUCCGGAAUUAUUGGGCGUAAAGCGCGCGUAGGCGGUUUUUUAAGUCUGAUGUGAAAGCCCACGGCUCAACCGUGGAGGGUCAUUGGAAACUGGAAAACUUGAGUGCAGAAGAGGAAAGUGGAAUUCCAUGUGUAGCGGUGAAAUGCGCAGAGAUAUGGAGGAGCACCAGUGGCGAAGGCGACUUUCUGGUCUGUAACUGACGCUGAUGUGCGAAAGCGUGGGGAUCAAACAGGAUUAGAUACCCUGGUAGUCCACGCCGUAAACGAUGAGUGCUAAGUGUUAGGGGGUUUCCGCCCCUUAGUGCUGCAGCUAACGCAUUAAGCACUCCGCCUGGGGAGUACGACCGCAAGGUUGAAACUCAAAGGAAUUGACGGGGACCCGCACAAGCGGUGGAGCAUGUGGUUUAAUUCGAAGCAACGCGAAGAACCUUACCAAAUCUUGACAUCCUUUGACAACUCUAGAGAUAGAGCCUUCCCCUUCGGGGGACAAAGUGACAGGUGGUGCAUGGUUGUCGUCAGCUCGUGUCGUGAGAUGUUGGGUUAAGUCCCGCAACGAGCGCAACCCUUAAGCUUAGUUGCCAUCAUUAAGUUGGGCACUCUAAGUUGACUGCCGGUGACAAACCGGAGGAAGGUGGGGAUGACGUCAAAUCAUCAUGCCCCUUAUGAUUUGGGCUACACACGUGCUACAAUGGACAAUACAAAGGGCAGCGAAACCGCGAGGUCAAGCAAAUCCCAUAAAGUUGUUCUCAGUUCGGAUUGUAGUCUGCAACUCGACUACAUGAAGCUGGAAUCGCUAGUAAUCGUAGAUCAGCAUGCUACGGUGAAUACGUUCCCGGGUCU
rnacentral:rRNA from 1 species